rnacentral:rRNA from 2 species
GUGGUUUAAUUCGAAGCAACGCGAAGAACCUUACCAGGUCUUGACAUCCUCUGACAACCCUAGAGAUAGGGCUUUCCCCUUCGGGGGACAGAGUGACAGGUGGUGCAUGGUUGUCGUCAGCUCGUGUCGUGAGAUGUUGGGUUAAGUCCCGCAACGAGCGCAACCCUUGAUCUUAGUUGCCAGCAUUCAGUUGGGCACUCUAAGAUGACUGCCGGUGACAAACCGGAGGAAGGUGGGGAUGACGUCAAAUCAUCAUGCCCCUUAUGACCUGGGCUACACACGUGCUACAAUGGACGGUACAAAGGGCUGCAAGACCGCGAGGUUUAGCCAAUCCCAUAAAACCGUUCUCAGUUCGGAUUGUAGGCUGCAACUCGCCUACAUGAAGCUGGAAUCGCUAGUAAUCGCGGAUCAGCAUGCCGCGGUGAAUACGUUCCCGGGCCUUGUACACACCGCCCGUCACACCACGAGAGUUUGUAAC